AAUACAAAAUGAGCUGGAGCCAAGGACGUGAAUGGAAAGUAGUCUGUCCGCCUUGUUCGGCCAAUAGAGCGGUGCUCCGAGUAAGCGGCCAGGCCAAUCAGCGGCGGGUGCCGGUGGAAGGAGCGGACAUGGCGGCGUUGCGGGUGCUGAUGUUGGGGGUCUUGGUGGUGCUGAUGGCCUGCGAGGGACCCUGGGCUGCAGGGCAGAAGCGGAAGGAGAUGGUUUUAUCUGAAAAAGUUAGCCAGCUGAUGGAGUGGGCCAGCAAAAGAGCUGUUAUCCGAAUGAAUGGAGACAAGUUUCGUCGCCUUGUAAAGGCACCACCAAGAAAUUACUCAGUGGUUGUGAUGUUCACUGCUCUUCAGCCUCACAGACAGUGUGCUGUGUGCAAGCAAGCUGAUGAAGAAUACCAGAUUCUGGCAAACUCCUGGCGAUACUCCAGUGCAUUUACCAAUAAGGUUUUUUUUGCCAUGGUGGAUUUUGAUGAAGGCUCGGAUGUAUUUCAGAUGCUAAACAUGAACUCGGCUCCAACCUUCAUUAACUUCCCAGCUAAAGGGAAACCUAAAAGGGGUGACACGUAUGAGCUGCAAGUGCGAGGUUUUGCGGCUGAGCAGCUUGCUCGCUGGAUAGCUGAUAGGACUGAUGUCAAUAUUCGAGUGAUAAGACCUCCGAAUUAUGCUGGUCCCUUGAUGUUGGGUCUGCUGCUGGCGGUCAUUGGUGGCCUUGUAUACUUACGGAGAAGCAACCUGGAUUUUCUCUAUAACAAAACUGGCUGGGCUUUUGCUGCUUUGUGUUUUGUGCUAGCAAUGACAUCAGGCCAAAUGUGGAAUCACAUCAGAGGGCCACCAUAUGCUCAUAAGAAUCCCCAUACAGGACAAGUGAACUAUAUCCAUGGAAGCAGCCAAGCCCAAUUUGUGGCUGAAACACACAUUGUUCUACUGUUUAGAUUAGGUAUCAUUCUCUUCGUAUGUCCUUAAAUGAAGCUGUGGACGACUGCAUUCUUUGAGACAGCCUGUGUUAGUGUCUGGCAAUAGUAAUGUGUGUAGCUGGUGUUGGCCUGGUGGUAUUAUUCUUCAGCUGGCUGCUCUCUGUCUUCAGAUCUAAAUACCAUGGCUACCCAUACAGUUUCCUGAUGAGUUAAAGGAUUCCACAAGCUGGGAGCAUUUGAAAGAUGUCAACUCUGAAAUUGUGUGUAAUGGAACUGAAGAGCUAAAUGUGUAUGGUUCAUGCUACCUCUCUUUAAAGCGAAUGAGAUAGUUAAACACUGAACCAAAGAAAAUGUGUAGUGCCUUAAUAUGACAAGCAGUAUGCUCUGAACAUGACAUGGAGUAUUAAGAUUCAGUCUUUUUUCAUAAGCUUUACAUCAUGUUAAACCAUUUUACUUUAAACCUAGUGGAAUUCAAAACUUAGAUUAUGGACUACUAGUGUUUCUUUGAAAUAACUAGAAACAGUACUUACAUUCAGUUUGAUAAUUUGUUUGCCUCAUUUUGUUUUCUGCUCCCUCAUAGGUGAGGGGGGUGGUAUGUUUUUUGUUUUGUUUUUUUAAUUGCAUUCUCUUUCCUGUCGACCUGUUGCUACUCUCGCUGGCAUUUUUCCUUUCCCUUUUUUCAUAACUCUGCCUGAGUCAUACCCUUUCAUGAAUGAAGGGGCCAAAUUCAGCAUGUACCUGGAAACCUCUUCCUUUUUUCUGGAACACUCUCCAGCUUCUAGUGGCAAAUGUGCAGAUCUUACAGUCCUCAACUUGAAUCUCUUGUAUAUGACUGCAAUGCAGUGCAACUGAUUACCCCCACAGAGUAAGGGAAAGUCAUCAACAUAUAGCACUGGUGAAUGCAUGUGGAAUCUUGAAUUAAGUUACCUAGAGUGGUUUAAUAUUGAGUUUUCCCCUCAAUGCUCAACACUCCCCAUUACCAAAAAGACACUGAUAUAUUUUUUUAAUAAAAUUACCACCAUUUGUUGCAGUCUCUGCUAUCCUGAGCUGUCUGAUAGGUCUGGGAAAUCCCCCCUUCCCCUCUGAACACAUUGUCCUGUUACUAAUUGGCCAGUGAGGACUCUCUGACUGCCUAAGACUGAAACUCCCCUGUAUGCAAUAAAUGCUGGCACAGUGAGUCCAGUCUACAUAGCCCAAGGUCAGGAAUGUUCUUAGCCUUUUCUUCAUUCUAAAUAGUUGAUUCUGAAAAACUAAUCUGAAACAUAGCCCAAAAGGUAGCCAGUUUCAGCUGAUAAAGCAGAGGGAUCCUAAAUGUGGUUUAAAAAUAUUCUCAGAAUCCUGCCAAACCAGCAGACAUGCAAGCACUUUCAGUCAGUAUCACUUGGAACUGUAACUUGCCACCUCCUUUAACUUGUUCUAAUUUCCUUCAGCCUUACUUACUAGGGAGAUUGGGUGGGGGGAAUACGGGUAUGAUCCUAGGAUAAAUAUUACUAUCCCAGUGGAGAUUCUCUAGUUUUAUAGUAGCCCUUUCUGCUUGUUAGAGGAAAUAAGAGCAGAAAAUGGUGAGCCCCUGAGAAACUUCCUUCUCCAUCCCAUCCCUAAGAAGGAGGAGACUUGACUUCUUCUGCUUCAGCCCAAAUAGUCUUAAAAUUCCAUGACUGGGAAUUCCCGCACCUAUACUGGUGGGAACUCUUUCAGCUUGACUAGAUAGUGCUACCUGCUGCAGGGCAGAACAAAUGCUUGGAGGUAGUUUUAUCAUGGAGGAUGUUAUAAAUAGGUAAUUUCUCACCUCCUGUCCUCUUCUCUGUCCCAAAGGGGCAAGGGCUAUGGAAGUUUUCUUUAGACUGAAGAGUACAUGAGAAAUAACCGCUUCAUUCAAACUAGAAUGUUACUGUUAUGCAAGUUCGCUAAGUUAACUUACAUCUCAAGUGCCUUAACUACACUAAUCUAGUCUUUUGGUAAUGGUUCAAUUUAAAUAUUGAGAUGUUUUUGUACGGCUCAGAAUGAUGAGCUUUAGUGGCACAGAUAAUCACAUGAUUGACUGGAUUUUGGACAACUUUCAAUAAAAUGUUUUACAGUCUGA